UACGUAGGGUCCGAGCGUUGUCCGGAAUUAUUGGGCGUAAAGAGCUCGUAGGCGGUCUGUCGCGUCGGCUGUGAAAACUCAGGGCUCAACCCUGAGCCUGCAGUCGAUACGGGCAGACUAGAGUUCGGUAGGGGAGACUGGAAUUCCUGGUGUAGCGGUGAAAUGCGCAGAUAUCAGGAGGAACACCGGUGGCGAAGGCGGGUCUCUGGGCCGAAACUGACGCUGAGGCGCGAAAGCUAGGGGAGCAAACGGG
rnacentral:rRNA from 1 species